GACGAACGCUGGCGGCGUGCCUAAUACAUGCAAGUAGAACGCUGAAGAGAGGAGCUUGCUCUUCUUGGAUGAGUUGCGAACGGGUGAGUAACGCGUAGGUAACCUGCCUUGUAGCGGGGGAUAACUAUUGGAAACGAUAGCUAAUACCGCAUAACAAUGGAUGACACAUGUCAUUUAUUUUAAAGGGGCAAUUGCUCCACUACAAGAUGGACCUGCGUUGUAUUAGCUAGUAGGUGAGGUAAUGGCUCACCUAGGCGACGAUACAUAGCCGACCUGAGAGGGUGAUCGGACACACUGGGACUGAGACACGGCCCAGACUCCUACGGGAGGCAGCAGUAGGGAAUCUUCGGCAAUGGGGGCAACCCCGACCGAGCAACGCCGCGUGAGUGAAGAAGGUUUUCGGAUCGUAAAGCUCGGUUGUAAGUCAAGAACGGGUGUGAGAGUGGAAAGUUCACACUGUGACGGUAGCUUACCAGAAAGGGACGGCUAACUACGUG
rnacentral:rRNA from 1 species